UUGUGAGUGAGAUCUCAAAUCCCAACAGAGCAAACCACAACCAGAAGCUUAUUGAAGCCUUGCCAUCUCUUCUUUCUUUCUUCCUUCUGCGAGGCUACAACCGAGAAGAGAAUGGCAAUGGCAAAGAGGGAGAAGAAGCUGCAGUGCCCAACUUUUGCCCGCCGAUGCCGGUUGUUAGUGAAAGAACAGAGGGCGAAGUUCUACAUUCUUCGGAGAUGCAUUAUGAUGCUAAUUUGCUGGAGUGAAAGUGAAGAUCUUUGAUGGCAUGAAAUGUGCUCAUUUAUGUAUAGAGCGAAGAGAUGAGAUAUAUCUGUAGAUGGGGUCUAGUAGUUGGUAUAUGUAGAUACACUUUAGCUCUGAAAUUUGGGUCUCCGGAAGCCACACAGCUCAUGUAUAUCAUGAAACAUAAUCAUUGAAGAAAUAUGUUGUUUGUUGCUGAUUUUGUUUUGCUUUUCUGAUAUGGCUGCUUUAGAGUCAACUCCAGCUUGCAUUAUCUUAUUGAUAGAGAGGUCAUACAUUAUUUUGGUAAACCUAAAAUCAUGGCUCCUCAAAGUUUACAGCUUGUUUAUAUCAUGAAGCAGAUUAAACUAAGGAAUAUGGUGCCUGAUACUUCUGUUGUGCAGAUUGAAGAUUGUGGUGGAAUAUUUCUGCCGUUUUGUCUUUUGAUUCAUGCAAAAACUUUUUUCUUUGACUUCUCUGUUGUUAUUCUUGACGACAACUCAGUAACUCUCACUGCAUGUGUUCAGAGAAGAUUGAAGAUUGUGGUGUUCUUUAUGGAAAGUUGGGAACUCUUUCUUCGUGCUAAAUAUGAGGUUUGAAGCUGAAACGAUUCAUUUUCUUGAGAGGAUGAACCACAGAUGGUGAUGCUUCCAAAGGUAAAACCAAGUUUCUAGAAUGAGAAUAGUUAUAUCCACUAAUUUUCAUUCUUAUUUUUUUUUCUUAAUCUUCUUGUCAAAAACAACAAUCCCUUUAUGCAUGACUGACAGUCAAUAUCCAAAAUAAAUGACAAGAACUGCAACUCUGAGCCGAGGAUCUGUACAGAGAUCGAACUGGACAUCGUUCGUCUUGAGCCUAGCUUCGGCAGUUCAGCAUAUAUUUUUAGUUUUUACCUUUUAAACCACAUCUUCGAUUCUAUUAAUUAUCUCAGGUGCUGAUACGCAGUGGAAGAGAAUUGAAAGGAAACGAAAGCUAAUGUUCAAUCAUUGUUAGUGCUUUAUCACCCAAACUUUUGUUUUUCUUUUUUACUUUAUGUCUACGCAGUCAGUCAAUAUAUAGUUUAAUGCAAUAAAUACAGCUUUAUUGUGAAUGAUUCGAUCACCAUUUAUUGAAUCCACUACCAUGGUGCGAAUCAUUGGCACGAGGAUAGGAGGAUAUAUAGUGUUUGCAAAAUUAAACUAUUUUCAAUUUCAUAACAAAAGUAUCAUCCUUUCUUCUAAUCACCACCAAGAUUAAUUAUGUGAAGAUUACAAGUUAGAGACGGUAGAGCACUAGAAAUUAAACUCAUCCAAAGAAGAAAGGGCUGUCUGCAUGGAAAUUUCUAUGUGCAAUAUCGGAAACGCGAGACGUACACGAAGUGGAAGCCGGCCGACAGUAGGAAUCAUUGAAAUGGUCAGAGCGGCUUAUCGGUACACAUAAUCACACUGGGCUGGCUACUCGAUCAACCACGGUAUCUCAAAUUCGUUUUUCCUUUUCGAAAUGAAAGAUUCCCUCUUCAGUCAAUUAUGGGACGCAGUGUUUCCUUCUUCAUGGCCGAAAGGGAGACAUGGAGUGCUAUUCCACGUGCAGACGACAGGUGAAUCGGGUACUGCAUGUGGAGAUGAGGACGAGGUUGCACCAAUUAAGGGAGAAGGGUGGCCUGUUGCAGGAGAUGAGGAGUCCCAGUGCAAUUAAUUGCUUCACUGUUUCACGCGUAGGAGAAGGUAUGAUUAAUUAAUUAAUUAAUUAAUGGCUGAUCAGUCAGAGUAGUGCGACUCCAACAGCUCCAGAGAUGUGAAAGGGUCGAAAAUGGCAGAGGCAUACAAAGCGGGAGGGAAUCAGGUCAGCUAGCUGCAUGGCAUCAGCCGUCAGGCUCAUGCUUUACUCUGAUGUUUCUCUUUCAUGCAAGUCGAGAGCAACAUGGUGGGGAAAUGGCCGUGUGUGUAUCAUUCAAUGGGUUGGCAGGAGCAGGAUAGCAGAUGCACGUGUGGGGUGGGGGCGCCGUGAAUAAGACUCGCGUCGAGAUGUCAGAGUCAUCCGGUGGAGGUCGAUCGAAAAUUUUCGACCGAUUUUCAUGGAUCGACCUUAGAAAAUUCGAAUCUGUAUGGGUGCGUUUUGCUUUGGCCUGAUGACACUGGCAGUUGAGCA